rnacentral:rRNA from 1 species
GACGAACCGAGCGAACGUUAUUCGGAAUCACUGGGCUUAAAGGGCGCGUAGGCGGGCCCGAAAGUCAGGGGUGAAAUCCCACGGCUCAACCGUGGAAGUGCCUCUGAUACUUCAGGCCUCGAGGGAGGUAGGGGCGUGCGGAACUUCCAGUGGAGCGGUGAAAUGCGUAGAUAUCGGAAGGAACGUCGGUGGCGAAAGCGGCGCGCUGGACCUCUUCUGACGCUGAUGCGCGAAAGCCAGGGGAGCGAACGGG